rnacentral:misc_RNA from 1 species
AAAAAAUACAGCUGAAUAUGAAUUUGAGAACCGAUAUGAGAUGGUUGAUGACUUGGCAGACAAGGUAGCUGAAUUAUAAAAAGAAAAACCUGAAAGAUGUUCAAAUACUUACCAGAUAGGGAAAGUGUCAUAUCAGUCACAGACAGAAGUUAUGACCUAGAACAAGUUCAGUGGUUAUUAUUAUGUGCUAUAGCCUGUGGAUGUUACAAUUCAAGCAUUG